rnacentral:rRNA from 1 species
GCUUAACGCGAAGAACCUUACCUACUCUUGACAUCCAGAGAACUUAGCAGAGAUGCUUUGGUGCCUUCGGGAACUCUGAGACAGGUGCUGCAUGGCUGUCGUCAGCUCGUGUUGUGAAAUGUUGGGUUAAGUCCCGCAACGAGCGCAACCCUUAUCCUUUGUUGCCAGCGGUUAGGCCGGGAACUCAAAGGAGACUGCCAGUGAUAAACUGGAGGAAGGUGGGGAUGACGUCAAGUCAUCAUGGCCCUUACGAGUAGGGCUACACACGUGCUACAAUGGCGCAUACAAAGAGAAGCGACCUCGCGAGAGCAAGCGGACCUCAUAAAGUGCGUCGUAGUCCGGAUUGGAGUCUGCAACUCGACUCCAUGAAGUCGGAAUCGCUAGUAAUCGUAGAUCAGAAUGCUACGGUGAAUACGUUCCCGGGUCUUGUACACACCG